ensembl:lncRNA
UUCAAAGAGUGCCUCCUACAUUUAAGAAUCAAUUUGCACAGAGCAACUGAGUGAAGAGCCAUAUACAAAGACUGAAGAUUGGAAUCAUCCUUAGUAGAGAGAGGAUUUGCCCUGGAUGUCUGCAGAAAUCCUGAUGGUGUCAUCUGUUAUGCUAGGAAAAAAAUAGAGGGAUUUAUCUGCACAGGGAGUUCUGACUGCCUUGGUGAUGCCCCUGGAAUAUGUAGCUUUUGAAGAAUGCAGAGGACUACAAUAUGUCUUGCAGCUCAUGGGAGAAAAAAUAUGCCAUUUCCCAAAGGCAGUUUAAGGCCCAGUCUUCCAGCAGAAUAUUUUCAAUUUCAUAGGUAUUGGCCACCGAGGGCCUGGAAAUACAGUCAGGAAUUACUGCUGUCCAGAUGUUGUUCUGGGUGAUUCUGCCAGAUUUCCAGCCAGAGUCAUUCAAACACAGUCUAGUAAACUCAUAUAGCCUCUAUAUCACUACAUUCACUGACCUUCCAAAUUGUC